CUUUUAUUGAGAGUUUGAUCCUGGCUCAGGACGAACGCUGGCGGCGUGCCUAAUACAUGCAAGUCGAGCGGACUGGAGGGAGCUUGCUCCCAAAGGUUAGCGGCGGACGGGUGAGUAACACGUGGGCAAUCUGCCCGACAGACCGGGAUAACGCUUGGAAACGAGUGCUAAUACCGGAUAGGCUUCUCCUUCGCAUGAGGGAGAAGAGAAAGAAGCUUUCGCUUCACUGUCGGAUGAGCCCGCGGCGCAUUAGCUAGUUGGUGAGGUAACGGCUCACCAAGGCGACGAUGCGUAGCCGACCUGAGAGGGUGACCGGCCACACUGGGACUGAGACACGGCCCAGACUCCUACGGGAGGCAGCAGUAGGGAAUCUUCCACAAUGGGCGCAAGCCUGAUGGAGCAACGCCGCGUGAAUGAUGAAGGCCUUCGGGUUGUAAAAUUCUGUCUUCUGUGAAGAACAAGUGCGAGAAGGGAAUGCUCGCACCCUGACGGUAACAGAGGAGGAAGCCCCGGCUAACUACGUGCCAGCAGCCGCGGUAAUACGUAGGGGGCAAGCGUUGUCCGGAA
rnacentral:rRNA from 1 species